GAUUAACGCUAGCGGCAGGCCUAAUACAUGCAAGUCGAACGGGAUUCAAAGUAGCAAUAUUUUGAUGAGAGUGGCGCACGGGUGAGUAACACGUAUGCAAUUUACCUUUAACUGGGGGAUAGCCCUCCGAAAGGAGGAUUGAUACCGCAUAAUAUAUUGAAAUGGCAUCAUUUUAAUAUUAAACCUACGGGGGUUAAAGAUGAGCAUGCAUCCGAUUAGCUAGUUGGUGUGGUAACGGCUCACCAAGGCAACGAUCGGUAGGGGGUCUGAGAGGAUGAUCCCCCACACUGGUACUGAGACACGGACCAGACUCCUACGGGAGGCAGCAGUAAGGAAUAUUGGACAAUGGAGGCAACUCUGAUCCAGCCAUGCCGCGUGAAGGAUUAAGGCCCUAUGGGUUGUAAACUUCUUUUAGACGGGACAAAACCCCUUUACGUGUAAAGGGUCGAUGGUACUGUCAGAAUAAGCAUCGGCUAACUUCGUGCCAGCAGCCGCGGUAAAGUAUCG
rnacentral:rRNA from 1 species